rnacentral:rRNA from 1 species
GAUGAACGCUGGCGGCGUGCUUAACACAUGCAAGUCGAACGAGAAGUGAAGACGGAAACCUUCGGGCGGAAGGCUUUAUUUCGAGUGGCGGACGGGUGAGUAACGCGUGGGUAACCUGCCUCAUACAGGGGGAUAACAGUUGGAAACGACUGUUAAUACCGCAUAAGACCACAGCACCGCAUGGUGCGGGGGUAAAAACUCCGGUGGUAUGAGAUGGACCCGCGUUCGAUUAGCCAGUUGGCGGGGUAACGGCCCACCAAAGCGACGAUCGAUAGCCGAUCUGAGAGGAUGACCGGCCACAUUGGGACUGAGACACGGCCCAAACUCCUACGGGAGGCAGCAGUGGGGAAUAUUGCACAAUGGGGGAAACCCUGAUGCAGCGACGCCGCGUGAGUGAAGAAGUAUUUCGGUAUGUAAAGCUCUAUCAGCAGGGAAGAAAAUGACGGUACCUGAGUAAGAAGCCCCGGCUAACUACGCG